GGGCUAUACUGCAGUCGAGCGGACAGAUGGGAGCUUGCUCCCUGAUGUUAGCGGCGGACGGGUGAGUAACACGUGGGUAACCUGCCUGUAAGACUGGGAUAACUCCGGGAAACCGGGGCUAAUACCGGAUGGUUGUUUGAACCGCAUGGUUCAGACAUAAAAGGUGGCUUCGGCUACCACUUACAGAUGGACCCGCGGCGCAUUAGCUAGUUGGUGAGGUAACGGCUCACCAAGGCGACGAUGCGUAGCCGACCUGAGAGGGUGAUCGGCCACACUGGGACUGAGACACGGCCCAGACUCCUACGGGAGGCAGCAGUAGGGAAUCUUCCGCAAUGGACGAAAGUCUGACGGAGCAACGCCGCGUGAGUGAUGAAGGUUUUCGGAUCGUAAAGCUCUGUUGUUAGGGAAGAACAAGUGCCGUUCAAAUAGGGCGGCACCUUGACGGUACCUAACCAGAAAGCCACGGCUAACUACGUGCCAGCAGCCGCGGUAAUACGUAGGUGGCAAGCGUUGUCCGGAAUUAUUGGGCGUAAAGGGCUCGCAGGCGGUUUCUUAAGUCUGAUGUGAAAGCCCCCGGCUCAACCGGGGAGGGUCAUUGGAAACUGGGGAACUUGAGUGCAGAAGAGGAGAGUGGAAUUCCACGUGUAGCGGUGAAAUGCGUAGAGAUGUGGAGGAACACCAGUGGCGAAGGCGACUCUCUGGUCUGUAACUGACGCUGAGGAGCGAAAGCGUGGGGAGCGAACAGGAUUAGAUACCCUGGUAGUCCACGCCGUAAACGAUGAGUGCUAAGUGUUAGGGGGUUUCCGCCCCUUAGUGCUGCAGCUAACGCAUUAAGCACUCCGCCUGGGGAGUACGGUCGCAAGACUGAAACUCAAAGGAAUUGACGGGGGC
rnacentral:rRNA from 1 species